GAUGAACGCUGGCGGCGUGCUUAACACAUGCAAGUCGAACGAAGCAUUUGCGACAGAUUUUUUCGGAAUGAAGUUGCUUAUGACUGAGUGGCGGACGGGUGAGUAACGCGUGGGUAACCUGCCUUGUACUGGGGGAUAGCAGCUGGAAACGGCUGGUAAUACCGCAUAAGCGCACAAUGUUGCAUGACAUGGUGUGAAAAACUCCGGUGGUAUAAGAUGGACCCGCGUCUGAUUAGCUAGUUGGUGAGAUAACAGCCCACCAAGGCGACGAUCAGUAGCCGACCUGAGAGGGUGACAGGCCACAUUGGGACUGAGACACGGCCCAGACUCCUACGGGAGGCAGCAGUGGGGAAUAUUGCACAAUGGAGGAAACUCUGAUGCAGCGACGCCGCGUGAGUGAAGAAGUAAUUCGUUAUGUAAAGCUCUAUCAGCAGGGAAGAUAGUGACGGUACCGGACUAAGAAGCUCCGGCUAAAUACGUG
rnacentral:rRNA from 1 species